rnacentral:rRNA from 1 species
ACGGAGGGUGCGAGCGUUGUCCGGAAUCACUGGGCGUAAAGGGCGCGUAGGCGGCCUGGCAAGUCGAUGGUGAAAGCCCGAGGCUCAACUUCGGGUCGGCCACUGAUACUGCUAGGCUUGAGUCGACUAGAGGCAGAUGGAAUUCCGGGUGUAGCGGUGGAAUGCGUAGAGAUCCGGAAGAACACCGGUGGCGAAGGCGGUCUGCUGGGGUCGAACUGACGCUGAGGCGCGACAGCGUGGGGAGCAAACAGGA